rnacentral:rRNA from 1 species
GACGAACCGUGCAAACGUUGUUCGGAAUCACUGGGCUUAAAGGGCGCGUAGGCGGACCAUCAAGUCGGGGGUGAAAUCUUUCAGCUCAACUGGAAAAGGGCUUCCGAUACUGGUGGUCUCGAGGGAGGUAGGGGUCGAGGGAACUGGUGGUGGAGCGGUGAAAUGCGUAGAUAUCACUAGGAACGCCGGUGGCGAAAGCGCUCGACUGGACCUCUUCUGACGCUGAGGCGCGAAAGCCAGGGGAGCAAACGGG